UCUCUUCUCUCCAUGCAGGAGAGGAAAAACAAAACAAAUCUAUCAGGGUCAACAUGGCUACCACAAGAGUAACAGCUGCUGCAGGCACGGGAACCAUGACGCACCCGUGCGCUCUGGAGCCACCAAAAUCAUUCUCAGCUGUUCCUCCCGAACCCGUUCCAAGAGACCUGGAAUCAGCGGGACGGGGAAAAGCAUAAAGCUGUUUGUGUGGCCACAGUCGGUCUACCUCCGCUCUGCCGAACUUGCGCCAGAUCUGGAGGAUCAGAUCCCGAUCGAGAUUCCAGUCCCUGUCCUGAGGACCUCCCCUGGACAUUAUGUACGCUUCUCUGUUCAGGACUCCGGGGAUGUACACCGCUCUGAUGGAGCGUAAGUGUGUGUGUGCCCAGAACAGUAGCUGUCUGGCUGUUUCCAGCAGCUGCGCUGAGCGCACUCCCCCCUGGCGGUUUAUGUAAGCAGCUGCCACCUUGUUGUCUGUGUGGAUCAGAACAUGUUGGUCCUGCAGCAGUGGAGCAAAGUGCUGAACCACCUUCCACACUGUGAGGAGUUCCAGGACAUUUAUGUGGAGGGGCAUGUGGGCUGGCCACUAUCAUCCCACCGCUUGGGAAAGACACGUCCCUCCCCACCCUGAGAGGGAUGUGUCACUGAACACAGAAACAUGAGAAGUCGCUCUGCUCACAGGGACUCCUUCUAAAAGAUUCUGCAGGUUUUUCUAGCAAUUCAGAUCCCCUCCUACUGACGGUGGGACCGAGAUCAUUUGCCGUUUUUGAUGCACCGGGUCUAGCUGGAGACAACAGAACUAUCUCUGCAGCUGUCUCAUAUGAAGCAAGUCCAGUGGAACCACUGCAUGUGCUGCUGACAUCAUGCCCAGCAGGCGCAUGACUGUCAGAGCCAUCACUGAGGAGUGAAGUUUGACACGUCUCAGCAGCGCUGUCAGUGCGUCUUUCCUCUGCUGUUACAGCUGCACUCUCAUGGUGACUGAGUUUAGCUCCACCCCCAGGUAAACAAUCAGUGGAACAAUGGAGCUUUUUUCCCAGUUUAUGGAAAAACCCAGGAUGCACAGAUGUGACAUCAUGGCUUCCGUUUGAAUCUCCGCUUCUUUCUUUCCAGCAGUAGCAGGUCGUCCAAAUAAAACAGAAUCCUCAUUCCUGCUGAGCGGAGUGCCUGCAGUGUUGUUUCCACUAGUGAUGGGGAGAUUCACCACUUCACAUCGGUGGUUCGGCACGCAUGUCUGCGAUGCGACUGCAAGGUGCAUCGGGUUUAAUUUGCAGGCAAAUUUACGGUGCAUCUCCUCUAGUCUUUUUGGAUCAGCUAAUACCAUGGUUAAAUCGGGUGUUUUGUUUUCCAGUAUAUAUUUCUUAUUCUAACGUAUUUUCCGAGGCAAUGUUUUUUUAUUUUUAUUGAUUUCUUUUUUUUCUGAGGCAACGUAAAUGCACCAUCGCGUCCUCACGUACUGAUGCAAGCACACAGACAUACACAACAAAGAUGGAGGGAAACGAGAGCAUUAGCAACGACAGAGAUAUUUGAUGCACCAAAAAAGACACACAAAUCAAACGUGCGGAAAUGUUUUGGGUUUUUAAGCGAGGUGGUCAACUUGACAAGACGCACCCAAUCUGCAAACAAUGCCAUGGGGCUAUCAAAUACAUUAGUGGCACGACAAACCUGGCGACGCACAUGAAAAGACGGCACGGUGUGAACAUCUCUGCAGCCGCUACACCCUCGUUUUCUUCGGAUCCUGCUGAAACACAAGCCACGCUGAGCAGUAGCAAAGGAGGUGACAGGUCUAUCGCAAGUUUAUUUAGGCAAAACACACCCUUGGCAGCUAACUUUGCUCACUCCCAAGCCAUAACUGAUGCCAUAGCAUACUUUAUUUGCAAAGACAUUCAGCCCUAGCAUUGUAGAGAAUGAGGGAUUUAAACAACUGGUCCACAUCUUGGACCCAAGGUAUGAAAUACCACAAAGGGCAUUUUUUAUUGACACACAAAUUCCUGCUCUGUACAUAAAAGUGAAAAAAGAGGUGAUAGAAUCCCUCAGUAAUGCCAGACGAGUUGCUAUCACUGUGGAUGGCUGGACAUCGCGUGCCACUCAUUCAUAUAUCACAGUCACAUCACAUCACAAUGAAAAUGAGUGGAAUAUGAAAAAACUAUGUUCUAUAAACAAGAAUAUAUGAUGAGGCCCACACUGGACAGUAUCUGUCAGUUUUUCUGCGUGAUGUUUGCUGUGAAUGGAAACUUGAAGACAAGAAGCCUGCUUUGGCAACUGACAAUGCUAGGAACAUGCUACUGGAUGGAGCAGGUGCAGACAUGGAGCCACACAUCAGAUGCAUUGCUCACACUCUUAAUCUGCCCUCCUAAAAAGCUCUCAAGUUUGAAACUGUUUCAGCACUGCUGGUUAAGAUAUGGAAACUUGUAACAUUCUUUCACAAAAGUCCCAAAGCCUGUGGAACUAUGCAUGAAGUGCAAGCCCUGUUAAAACUAAAAGACCACAAGAUGAUUCAUGAUGUCACCACAAGGUGGAACAGUUCCUUGGACAUAAUGGAGCAUUUGUGGGAGCAGCAGGUUGCUGUGACUUUGACAACAAGAAAGAUGAAGAGGAGGACGUUAUCUUGAUGCCCGAAAUCAUUGAGCUGCUGACACCACUGAAAAAAGCAACUAAGUGUCUCAGUGAAGAAAAGACCCACUAUUUCCAUCAUCGCCUCAACACUGGCCAAACUGCUGGAGCAUUUUGAUCCUGAUGACCGUGACCUGCCAGUCAUCUCUGAGAUGAAAGAUAAGUUUAGACAGGACUUCAGCACCCGUUACACAUACAUUCAAGACUUUCUCUGAAAAGCCUCAGCAUUCAACCCCCGUUUCAAGGCACUGGAAGUUUUGGAUGAUGACCACACCAGGGACACAGUAUACCUGGGAAUAACAGCUGAAGUGGAGAAGAGGGUAAUAUGCUCAUUACGUUUCUUCUUAUUCCUAAAUUCUGCCAUGUCAACCUGAUGUGUUUUAUUUGAUUUAGUCAAAUAAAUGUAAUUUAUAUCUGCCCAUUAUUCUCAGGCAGAAGAGGAUGGCAGACUGAAUGAAAGACAGGCAACCAAGAGAAUGAACAGAGCUCCCACAGAGAGGAGGAAGACAAGGAUGAUGACCCAGAACCUCCCAUGAAGAAGUCAGCAUUCGACGUGAUGUUUGGAAGGCUCUCCUCUCCAAGAGGGCAGAAGAAGAGUUCAAGAGAAAGAGCUAAGGAGGAAACUGCCAAGUACAGGGGUAGGGAUCAUUUAGAUCUGCAUGGGGAUGUGUUGCAGUGGUGGAAAGAGCAGGUGAAUCUCCCUCUUUUGUCCAAAUUGGUCAAAACCUACUUAUGUAUCCCUGCAAUAAUUGUUUCAUCUGAACGUUUAUUCAGUACAGCUGGUGACAUCGUGACUGCUCAGCGUGGUCUGCUACUGCCAGAACAUGUUGACCAGUUAAUAUUUCUAAAGAAAAACCGUACACAAAGCCAUAUGAGAUAAAUCAUGAAGUGAAGAAAGGUGUUGACACUUUAAGCAUUAUUUGGUUGCCAUUUGAUGUUUUUUGUUUACAUGUUCCAUUUCUUAUAUAAAUCACACUAUACUUUUUUUUCUAAGUACACACGAGUACUAUGGACAUUGCACUUUGAAAAGCAAUACUUUUAUUUGAGCACCUUGGUGAAAGUAUUUUUUACAGCAGCUGCUACAUGCUGCAAUAAAAGUUUUAUUUUUAUGUUAUUAUUUAAUUUUUAAUAUUUAUUUGUUAAAUGGAAUUAGAGCCAUUUAUGUUCACUACUCAGUCAUCCAAGUAUGUGUAGCAGUUAAGUAGCAGACAAGUAGUAUGUGUUGCAGAUCAUAAUUUUCACUAUGCACAUUGAUAACACAGUCCUUUUAAAAACUGUUCAUCUUAUGUUUUAUACAUUUUGUAUAAAAAUAGACUGAGAAUAUAUCUGAGUAAUUCAGUUGAAUAAAGUUUCAUGCUCUGUCUGAAAAUACAUGCAUUUUUUUAUAUUAUGUAUUGAUGUACUCCAUUGAAAACAACCAGAUGCAUACAUCCCUCAAACAGAGUAAAGCAGAAUUGUGCUAUUGAGUUAAGAAAACUGAUGGGUUAGGCCAGUACAUCCUCAAACCUCAACUCCCUGUAUCGAAUGAUCACUUAUCAAACCAAAUCCUCAUAUAAUUAAGUCAUAUCGUUAUCAAAUAAUUUUUGAAUCACAUCGUAUCGUGAACAGGAGUGAUUUGUAUCGCAUUGUAUUAACAACAGGUUUCAGUGUAUCGCAAUUAUAUCGUAUCAGUGGCAGUGUAUCGAGAUGCGUAUCUAAUUGAACUUAGUGGUGAAGACAUAAAUAAUCCCUACUCUGUAGGCUAUAAACCCCCUUUUGUUCCCUAGUGUUGAGUCCGAGCUGUUCUCCUGUCCAGCAUCAUUUAUACAGGUGUCUAUGUCUCUGGCAGCAGACAAAAGAGGCCCUGUUAAGAAAUGCUGAACAGAACAAGAGGAUUGCUAACAGACACCACUCCUCAGAACCCACCUGCAGGUUGGCCAAGAGUCUGGCUCUCGACCAAGGACAUCCAACUCAAAGACACACCAAGGAAGCUGGCUCCUUGUUUCUUUAGUCCCUUUCCUGUGGAGUGCAUCAUCAACCCGGCUGCGGUAUGUCUUCCGUGUUCCCCAGGUCAUGCCAGUUUCAGAGUAUUUUCUGUGUUCUGUGUCUUCCACGUUCUGUGUUCCUCCUAGGUUUAUCAUGAUGCAUUCUGCCUGUUCUUUGUUCCCUUUAAGCUGAUCUCCAAGAGGAUCAUCUACCAAGUCAGCCUGAGCCUGAGAACCAAUCACACUCACCUGCUAUGUGGCCACUCUGCCUGAAGAUUUACUACUUGCAUCUUGUACUUACUUACCUUUUCUCAUUGCGGACCUCCUCCAGGAAACGUGUAAAAAAAGAAAAGAAACAUUUACCAUAUUUAUUCGUGUAUAAUACAAUCUCACGUAUAACAUGACCCCCCCCAUUUUAGCCUAAAAAGCAUAAAAAAUUAAAUUCUCAUAAUACCUCAAUUUCAUACGGAUUUCAGGAUUUUUCAGCCUUUGCAAUUUUAUACAUAUCAUAUACUGUUGUUUCAAUUUUUUAUUUAUUUUAUUUAAACAGCAUAUGUACUAAAAGGUUCACAACAACAAACGUCUAACAGUAACUACAACAAAAACUAUUAUGUGAAAUUUAGCAAUGCUCAUUUGUUAACUGGUGUGAUAUAACAAACAGAUAGAGCUAUGUGGCUCCAACAAGUGUGAAUGAAGCUGACUCAAACGUCUUCAAAAUCAGACUCAUCAUCAUCUGUAUCAACAAAAAGUUUCUGGUAUUCCUCCUCUGUAAUAAAGGCAUCAGAAUUCCACUCAACAGCAAUCUCAUCCUGUGUCUCGCGACCGCCCCCUCUGGUGGGGAAACUUUUUUCAGGUAGACCAACUUUUACAGAACACGGGUAGACGGCAGCCUUUACAGCCGACCAUGUGUUUGUUGUUGAUCCAGGAGCCGCCCGGUCGCACACUAAUAUCAUUAGUUGGUUAUCAUUACUAAGCUGCAGGACUGCCUUUUUUCUUUUUUUUCACAUCAUGUUGUCUACUUGGAUCUGUUACUAUCUCGCUCGCAUCAACGAAGGAGUGUCAGAGGUAAGCUCGCUUCAACCACUUUUUACGAUGUGGUCUCAUUUCCUGACUCAGGCAUUUUGUGAAUGGGGCCGUUAUUUCAGUUAAAACGCAUAAGCAAAAACAUUGUUCCGAGCAUGGUACUAUCCCCCAACUUUAUGGAUGAUUUUAUGGGUUUAAUUUUUCGUAUCAUACUUUAAUAAAUACUGUAUAUUUUCCUUACUGUUAAGGGUGAAGAGAACACCAUGCAUCGCAAAGUCCAUUAUCACUCAUGUACUGUUUAACUACAUUUAUGGAUUGCCAACUGCGCUGAGUUCCUGCUGUAUUAAGAAUGUCUACUGUAUUUCUUCAUUUAAACCAAAGUUGAGAUCACCUCCAUGUAGUAGUGAGCUGUCCAAGUGUUUGUACAGUGCAGAAAAAGUCAUAAAAAAUUAAGUGUCAUCAACUUUUGGACCAUAUAAGCUGACAAUACAAAAUUUGUGGUUAUGUGUAGAUAAUUUUAUUAUUACAUAUCUAACCACUGGCUCUGUAACUAAGGUCGUAUUCAGGCCUGACAAUUU